CCUACGGGGGGCAGCAGUGAGGAAUAUUGGUCAAUGGGCGCGAGCCUGAACCAGCCAAGUAGCGUGAAGGAUGACUGCCCUACGGGUUGUAAACUUCUUUUAUAAGGGAAUAAAGUGAGGCACGUGUGCCUUUUUGUAUGUACUUUAUGAAUAAGGAUCGGCUAACUCCGUGCCAGCAGCCGCGGUAAUACGGAGGAUCCGAGCGUUAUCCGGAUUUAUUGGGUUUAAAGGGAGCGUAGAUGGGUUUUUAAGUCAGUUGUGAAAGUUUGCGGCUCAACCGUAAAAUUGCAAUUGAUACUGGGAGGCUUGAGGAUAGUUGAGGGAGGCGGAAUUCGUGGUGUAGCGGUGAAAUGCUUAGAUAUCACGAAGAACCCCGAUUGCGAAGGCAGCUUACCAAACUGCCACUGACAUUGAUGCUCGAAAGUGUGGGGAUCAAACAGGAUUAGAUACCCGGGUAGUC
rnacentral:rRNA from 1 species